rnacentral:misc_RNA from 1 species
GAUGAAGAACGUAGCGAAAUGCGAUAAGUAGUGUGAAUUGCAGAAUUCAGUGAAUCAUCGAAUCUUUGAACGCACAUUGCGCCCCAUGGUAUUCCGUGGGGCAUGCCUGUUCGAGCGUCAUUUACCCCCUCAAGCUCCGCUUGGUGUUGGGCGUCUGUCCCGCUUCGCGCGCGGACUCGCCCCAAAGGUAUUGGCAGCGGUCGUGCCAGCUUCUCGCGCAGCACAUUGCGCUUCUCGAGGCACCGGUGGGCCCGCGUCCAUCAAGCUCACCCCCCCAGUCUGACCUCGGAUCAGGUAGGGAUACCCGCUGAACUUAAGCAUAUCAAUAAGCAGAGGA